rnacentral:rRNA from 1 species
GAUGAACGCUAGCGGCAGGCUUAAUACAUGCAAGUCGAGGGGCAGCAUGAAUGUAGCAAUACAUUUGAUGGCGACCGGCAAACGGGUGCGGAACACGUACACAACCUUCCUAUAAGUGGGGAAUAGCCCAGAGAAAUUUGGAUUAAUACCCCGUAACAUAAUGAUGUGGCAUCACAUUAUUAUUAUAGCUACGGCGCUUAUUGAUGGGUGUGCGGCUGAUUAGAUAGUUGGCGGGGUAACGGCCCACCAAGUCUACGAUCAGUAGCUGAUGUGAGGGCAUGAUCAGCCACACGGGCACUGAGACACGGGCCCGACUCCUACGGGAGGCAGCAGUAAGGAAUAUUGGUCAAUGGACGCAAGUCUGAACCAGCCAUGCCGCGUGAAGGAUUAAGGUCCUCUGGAUUGUAAACUUCUUUUAUCUGGGACGAAAAAAGGCUAUUCUUAGUCACUUGACGGUACCAGAUGAAUAAGCACCGACUAACUCCGUGCCAGCAGCCGCAGUAAAAC